rnacentral:tRNA from 1 species
UCCCCGGUGGUCCAACGGUUAGGACUCUGCGCUUUCACUGCUGUGGCUGGGGUUCAAUCCCUGGCUGGGAA